rnacentral:tRNA from 1 species
GCUCAGUUGGUAGAGCAGCGGUCUCCAAAACCGCAGGUCGCGGGUUCGAAUCCUGCCGCCCCUGCCA